AAUCAAAACAAUGAAUGCCAUAAAUGCUGUGCAGUUGUUCAUUAUGGUUUGGACCUUCACCGCUGUCUGUCAAGCUGAUGUUGAUUUCUGCAGUGUAACUUGUCAAAAUGUGACUGGAUCUGUGGGGAAAGAAGCAACUUUCACCUGCAACAUCUCUAAGCAGUGUGCUAAAUGCUGCGUUGUAAUGUAUAAGUUUCAAUACCCUGAGAGCUAUAAAGACUCAACAAUCCAUAAAGAAGUGUUUCCUGUGAACUCUUGUGAACAGAGAAACAGCUUCACAUGCCGCUACACUCCACCUACAGCAAUGACAGAAAAAUGCAGUUUCUUUGUGCAAACAAAGUGUGGAGUCAAAAGAACAUUAUUCACUGUAGACGUAAAUCUAAAUACUGCGACCAUCAAACCUGAAAUCAUCACUGAAGUCGUCACUCCUGGAAAGACAGGUCUUAUUCUAUCAUGGUUAUUGAUUAUUGAGCUCCACGUUACUGGAGCAACACAAAAAACAUUUUUUAAUCUCUUGCCAGCACAUUUAUAUAUUUAUUUUAAAUCAUGUGAAUUUAGUAUUUAAGGAAGUUGAUGUUUGAUUAUGGUUUCUAAAUUGUGUCAAGAAAUAAUCAACAGAUUCUCUGAUAGGCUGAAGUUGAGUUUAUUAUUUAAAACGCUGUCAUAAAACAUUUAAAACUCACCUUUCCAGAAAAACCUCCCUGGGACGGAUCAGAAACAUCUUUACAGAAGAAAGCAGAAGGUAAUGGAUUUAAGAUCGCCGUCAUCGCUGCUGUUAUAAGUGGUCUCAUCAUCAUCAUAAUGCCAAUCAUUUACAGAAUGACGCAAAAACACCCCAAACAGAAAAGGACAUUUCUGAUUUUCAGACAUGAUGAAGACAACAGCAAUCAUCCAGAAAAUGUUAUAUAACAGAAUUGACUCAGCAGUACCAAACAUUUAUUUUUUUUAUUUGUUUGAAUAAUUUGUAUCAUGCUCAUGAAAGACACAAGCUUUAUUUGAACUCCAGUAAACUACUCUGCUGAACUAUAUAACCCUGGUUGCAUAUUUCAAAACUCUGUUUAUGUUUUAUAUUAAUUUCUGUUAAAUAAAGGUAUAUUAGAGAUAUGUUUGAUCA
ensembl:lncRNA